rnacentral:rRNA from 1 species
CAGUCGCCGCGGGAAUACGUAGGGUGCAAGCGUUAAUCGGAAUUACUGGGCGUAAAGCGUGCGCAGGCGGUUCGUUAAGACAGAUGUGAAAUCCCCGGGCUUAACCUGGGAACUGCAUUUGUGACUGGCGGGCUAGAGUAUGGCAGAGGGGGGUAGAAUUCCACGUGUAGCAGUGAAAUGCGUAGAGAUGUGGAGGAAUACCGAUGGCGAAGGCAGCCCCCUGGGCCAAUACUGACGCUCAUGCACGAAAGCGUGGGGAGCAAACAGGAUUAGAUACCCCUGUAGUCCCUGUCUCUUAUAC